AACGAACGCUGGCGGCAUGCCUAACACAUGCAAGUCGAACGAGACCUUCGGGUCUAGUGGCGCACGGGUGCGUAACGCGUGGGAACCUGCCCUUAGGUUCGGAAUAACUCCCCGAAAGGGGUGCUAAUACCGGAUAAUGUCUUCGGACCAAAGAUUUAUCGCCUUUGGAUGGGCCCGCGUUGGAUUAGCUAGUUGGUAGGGUAAAAGCCUACCAAGGCGACGAUCCAUAGCUGGUCUGAGAGGAUGAUCAGCCACACUGGGACUGAGACACGGCCCAGACUCCUACGGGAGGCAGCAAUGGGGAAUAUUGGACAAUGGGCGAAAGCCUGAUCCAGCAAUGCCGCGUGAGUGGUGAAGGCCUUAGGGUUGUAAAGCUCUUUUACCCGGGAUGAUAAUGACAGUACCGGGAGAAUAAGCUCCGGCUAACUCCGUG
rnacentral:rRNA from 1 species